rnacentral:lncRNA from 1 species
UUACUUAACUCUAAUAAGAGUGUUUUAUUCAAGCUUAUGGUUAAUCAUUGCUGAUUGCCAUGAAAAUUGUACUCUGUACAUCUUGCAUGUAUAAGUCAGGUAUGAAAGGCUGAUCACCUUCAUUACCAGUUGGUUCAGAAAUGUUUGUUCAUGUUUAAUACUUGUUCAGUCAAAAAUUUGUUCGUGCUAGUUCUCAAUUAUAUUGAUGAAUUAUAGCAAGCCCAUUAUUCAUACUCUUCAAUCAUGAUAUAUCGUUAUAUUGUUGUAUUUAAACUUGCUGGGCAACUUUCAUGCUCACCCUUGCUAUAUCAUGAUAAAACAUUGCAGAUAAGGC